AGAUGUGAGGUGGUCUGGCUACAACAUUAACUUUUCAUUGAUUUCUAGGGAGGAUUCAACUGACCCGGCCCGGGAAGUGAGGGUUCCCACCCUCCUCAUUUGUCU
rnacentral:sRNA from 1 species